AAAAAAUAAUAACCACGUACUCAUAUAAGCCUAGAAAUAAGGUCAGGCGUUUCUACCAAAUACCGUAAAUAUUUGACUAUGAGUAGUCUAGUGUAGAUA
rfam:Clostridium botulinum D str. 1873 CLG.Contig181, whole genome shotgun sequence.